rnacentral:rRNA from 1 species
CCCUUACGUCCAGGGCCACACACGUGCUACAAUGGCCGAUACAGAGGGCAGCUACCUGGUGACAGGAUGCAAAUACUCGAAAGUCGGUCUCAGUUCGGAUCGGAGUCUGCAACUCGACUCCGUGAAGUUGGAUUCGCUAGUAAUCGCGCAUCAGCCAUGGCGCGGUGAAUACGUUCCCGGGCCUU